CUGAACCAGCCAUGCCGCGUGGAGGAUUAAGGCCCUCUGGGUUGUAAACUCCUUUUAUCUGGGAAGAAAUGUACUUUUUCUUGAGUACUUGACGGUACCAGAGGAAUAAGCACCGGCUAACUCCGUGCCAGCAGCCGCGGUAAUACGGAGGGUGCAAGCGUUAUCCGGAUUCACUGGGUUUAAAGGGUGCGUAGGCGGGCAGGUAAGUCAGUGGUGAAAUCUCCGGGCUUAACCCGGAAACUGCCGUUGAUACUACUUGUCUUGAAUAUUGUGGAGGUAAGCGGAAUAUGUCAUGUAGCGGUGAAAUGCUUAGAUAUGACAUAGAACACCAAUUGCGAAGGCAGCUUACUACACAAUGAUUGACGCUGAGGCACGAAAGCGUGGGGAUCAAACAGGAUUAGAUACCCUGGUAGUCCACGCCCUAAACGAUGAUUACUCGACGUGUGCGAUACACUGUAUGCGUCUGAGCGAAAGCAUUAAGUAAUCCACCUG
rnacentral:rRNA from 1 species